rnacentral:rRNA from 1 species
UACGGGGGGGGCAAGCGUUGUUCGGAAUUACUGGGCGUAAAGGGCGCGUAGGCGGUGAUGUAAGACAGUUGUGAAAUCCCCGGGCUCAACCUGGGAAUUGCAUCUGUGACUGCAUCGCUAGAGUACGGUAGAGGGGGAUGGAAUUCCGCGUGUAGCAGUGAAAUGCGUAGAUAUGCGGAGGAACACCAAUGGCGAAGGCAGCUCGCUGGGACGGUACUGACGCUGAGACGCGAAAGCGUGGGGAGCAAACAGG